rnacentral:rRNA from 1 species
GCGGACGGGUGAGUAACACGUGAGCAACCUACCUUAAGCGGGGGGAUAACAUUGAGAAAUCAGUGCUAAUACCGCAUGAAAACUAUAGAAAAGACAUCUUUUCAAUAGUCAAAGGAGUAAUCCACCAUAAGAUGGGCUCGCGGCUGAUUAGCCAGUUGGUGGGGUAACGGCCUACCAAAGCGAUGAUCAGUAGCCCGAGCUGAGAGGCUCAACGGCCACAUUGGGACUGAGACACGGCCCAGACUCCUACGGGAGGCAGCAGUCGGGAAUAUCGCACAAUGGAGGAAACUCUGAUGCAAGUGACGCCGCGUAUAGGAUGAAGGUCCUUGGAUUGUAAACUAUUGUCGACAGGGAAGAAACAAAUGACAGUACCUGUGGAGGAAGCUCCGGCUAACUACGUGCCAGCCGCGGC